AUUGAACGCUGGCGGCAGGCCUAACACAUGCAAGUCGGACGGUAGCACAGAGAGCUUGCUCUUGGGUGACGAGUGGCGGACGGGUGAGUAAUGUCUGGGGAUCUGCCCGAUAGAGGGGGAUAACCACUGGAAACGGUGGCUAAUACCGCAUAACGUCGCAAGACCAAAGAGGGGGACCUUCGGGCCUCUCACUAUCGGAUGAACCCAGAUGGGAUUAGCUAGUAGGCGGGGUAAUGGCCCACCUAGGCGACGAUCCAUAGCUGGUCUGAGAGGAUGACCGGCCACACUGGAACUGAGACACGGUCCAGACUCCUACGGGAGGCAGCAGUGGGGAAUAUUGCACAAUGGGCGCAAGCCUGAUGCAGCCAUGCCGCGUGUAUGAAGAAGGCCUUCGGGUUGUAAAGUACUUUCAGCGGGGAGGAAGGCGGUGCGGUUAAUAACCGCGCCGAUUGACGUUACCCGCAGAAGAAGCACCGGCUAACUCCGUGCCAGCAGCCGCCGUAA
rnacentral:rRNA from 1 species